GUUGUGUCCCACUUCUUAAAUCUCUUCUCAUCUCUGUCUAGACCUGCUGACUUUCCUUGUCAUCUUAUUUCAUGGCUUUAAUUACUACCUACGUGUCUCCAUUUCCCCUGGAGUCUCCUCCCCCAAACUCUAGAAUCCUGCAUUCAAUUGUUUCCUCAACUGUCUGCUGGGACAUUGAACAGACAUGUCCACCUUCGUAUGUCCAAAAGUGACUUCUGAGCUCCCCCAAAGGUUCUCCCCCUGCAGUCCUCACACCUCAGGAGUUUAUUAUCACCUCAUCCCCCUGGUGCAAUGGACAGCAGAGGAAUUGUCUUCCACUGGUGAGGUCUCUCCUGUGUGUGUGGUUUUGCAUAGGAAGGGGGUGUGUUGUAUCUAAGCAUUAAGCAGCUUUUUUUUAAUAUUCAGAAUUGACUUUUAAAGACUCAUUUUUCCUGAGGAGGAAGCUUAAAAGAGGACAAAGAGGAAAGAAAAGGAGUCAGGAAUGGCUCUCACUCAGGGAUGCUUGACAUUCGUGGAUGUGGCAAUAGAAUUCUCUCAGGAGGAGUGGAAAAGCCUGGACUCUGCUCAAAGGGCUUUAUACAGGGAUGUGAUGUUGGAGAACUACAGGAACCUGGUCUCCCUGGCAGGAAUAUCUCUUCCUGACCUGAGUGUUAUCUCUACUUUGGAGCAAGGGAAAGAGCCAUGGACUGCGGGGAGCCAAGUGAAAAUAGCAAGAAAAUCAAAUGGGUAGGAAUGGACCAAAAGUGUCA